rnacentral:rRNA from 1 species
AACGAACGCUGGCGGCAUGCCUAACACAUGCAAGUCGAACGAUUGCCUUCGGGUGAUAGUGGCGCACGGGUGCGUAACGCGUGGGAAUCUGCCCUUAGGUUCGGAAUAACAGCUGGAAACGGCUGCUAAUACCGGAUGAUAUCGCGAGAUCAAAGAUUUAUCGCCUGAGGAUGAGCCCGCGUUGGAUUAGGUAGUUGGUGGGGUAAAGGCCUGCCAAGCCGACGAUCCAUAGCUGGUCUGAGAGGAUGAUCAGCCACACUGGGACUGAGACACGGCCCAGACUCCUACGGGAGGCAGCAGUGGGGAAUAUUGGACAAUGGGCGCAAGCCUGAUCCAGCAAUGCCGCGUGAGUGAUGAAGGCCCUAGGGUUGUAAAGCUCUUUUACCCGGGAAGAUAAUGACUGUACCGGGAGAAUAAGCCCCGGCUAACUCCGUG